GGGGCCGUAACGGUUUCGACGUGAUGGCGAAAGCUGCUCUGUGAUUCAGGUCGAGAGUGAGUCUGCUCUCGUAAAUCAAAGGCUCGAAAAAAAAGUAAAUGCGAACAACAUCGUAAAAUUUGCUCGUAAGGAUGCUCUAGUAGCAGCCUAAAACACCUCUUUCAGGUUCGAGCGUCUCUAGUUUGACUCCGUUAAGGGCUAGAGACCAACCCCCAACGGAUGCUCUAGCAAGCGUUCUCUGGUUGGCUUGCUAGCUAAGAUUCAAUCAGAGCAUCCUACGUUCGGGAUAAUGAACGAUUCCCGCCUUGAGGGUUAGAAAGGCUAAACCUGUGAACGAGUGGGGGGUUAAUACCCAUUGCGGACGGCAGUUCAAUUCUGCCCGGUUCCACUA
rfam:Hassallia byssoidea VB512170 scaffold_4, whole genome shotgun sequence.